rnacentral:lncRNA from 1 species
AUGCAUCUUAUGUCAUUAGACACUAAAGACUUAAAAACCAGCGCAUAUCAGCUCUUUUUGGGGGACAAAGUGGCGCAAAGGCGCAUUUAUUUGGUUGGUUUGGUAAAUGAUUCAAGGCCUGACAUGCCUCGUGAUGGACAGAUGACCACGCUGCUCUCUGCCUGCUGGGACACACGACGACCAAGAAGCCAAAGAAAAUGAAAUAAUCAAGAGUACACAGUUAGGGCUGUGCUGUUUUCUCCAAGGCAGCGCAAUAACUGAUUUAUUGGCCAUUUAGGGGCAGCGCAAACAAGCUACACACACAACACAGGAACUGAUAUGGCUAACUUGUUCGCAAACAUGCUGUGCAUUAUUCAUUAGCCACCUGGCGUAUUUAAGUCCAAUAUUUACUGUUUUUAGCGUCCCGUAACUCCUGAGGAAAAUACAGUAUACCAAUAACGAAGCAUGUGAGAGUGGCGAGAGUCAACUGUAGCUACAGGCCAUAAAACUAACACAAACAGUACUAAAACAAAAUGAUUCAUUGGCAUUAAAAGACGCAAUAAAGCUUAAUAGAGCUAAAGUCUGUCACUGCGAGCCAACCCUGUCACACACACGUAGUCAUGGGAUCCAUUGUUCAUAUAGAAAUAUUGAUUAUAGCCUCUUUAAUGUUACAGGCAAUAGCACAACAGUACAUGUAUACAGUUAGCAUGCCAUUAGGCCUAUUGGUUAAAGUUUGAGGGGUCUUCUCAGGAACUUCGGUGUUGGACAUGUGGAAGUUUUGACCCGCUGGUGGCGAUGGAUGAAAACCAUUAAGAUAAAGGCUCAUUCAUCUCACAUGUAUAUGUAAAAUGUCAUGCAGGGUGAGGGGUGUAGAGGUGAGAGGUCAAAGGUCAUGUUUGUCAUUUCUGGCAUUUUCUGCAGGGCCAAAAAAAAAGCAGCCCAAGAAAGUUCUUCUCAUACCUUCUCUUAAGUUCUAUUACAUGCUUGCUCAAGUGUAAUUAUUAGUUUUAACUUGUUGUUUGGGACAUAUCUGAUUCUCUGGUCAGUGUUUCCAGACUUAAAGAGGGACAUGAAAAUCAGUUUACUUACUAUUCAUUGCGGUAAACACUUGUUAAAUGUCUUCUAUGGGUCAGCCACAAUGUACAAAAACAUAAUCACAUAGAUGCCUGAUCAGCCCACCCCAGCAUCCCUCCCAUCCAC